AAUCCGUGUUGCGGACACUUUCGCAGGAGUUCCUUGAACCUUUCCCAUGUCUCAAAUAGAGACUCCAAUUCCAGCAACGUAUGAGAUCUCAUUUCUAAGCUU